CCCGCCAUAGCUUUGGAAGAGCAUCAGACUGUAAAUCCGAGGGUCCGCGGUUCGAUCCCGCGUGGCGGGA
rnacentral:tRNA from 1 species